GAUGAAAGAUGUCGUCCUCUGUUGCUGGUGUAUUUGUAUGAAAAAGAGGAAGAGCUCAUCCAGGAGUGCAAUUGUGGUAAUGCAGAGAAAAUUGCUGUCUGCCAGAGGGAUCACCAACCAUGUGGACUUCUGCAUUGUCUUGGACGAUGAGUAAGUCAUGGCCAGUUUGGAAAAUCUGGAAUUGCUUAACUAGAUUUAUACACAUGUUCCCUAAAUUAAAAUCACCCGAAAACAAACUUAACUGACACAAAUUCACUGUUACAAACUUUUGGGGAAUUUUCACAUCAUUGACUGAUUGUGUUGCUAAUAUUUUGAGAUACAGCUUUUAUACUGGUUUUAUAUGUUGUGCAAUUCUGUCAGAGUUUGUAUAAAAUGUGACUAUUCCUACAAAAGAAAGUUGACAGAAUUUUUUUUUUUCCAUGACAUGGAUAAAGGAUUUUUUUCAGUGCUUAACAUUAAUGUCAAUUUUAAAUAAAUAUUACAUUAUAUUAAUGAGUAAUUUUUAUUAAUAGAGUAAAUGACUAAAA
ensembl:processed_transcript